rnacentral:snRNA from 1 species
AAGUGGUUGCAGUAAGCGACA